GUAGCUGCAAAUGUUGACCCAAUUUACACGACGGAAACAGAUGGAUCAGAAUGGGUAAGGCCUGGAUACCAUGCUGAUGGUCAAACAUUUGCGGCUACGGCUAAUCUAACACCCGAUCAUGCUAUUCAUAAGAUGCAGCUACGAGAUGAUACUGAAGGUAUCCAUAGGCAUGAUAUCCACCUUCCCAACCGGCGUAUUCGGUUGUGGUUCAGUGUGUUUUAUUUGUUUUUUGAUUUGUACUUAUAACAUGAUGCAGACGACACAGCUUCCAAACAGCUUGAAACUAUUUCUCUAAAUAAUGAAUGCAAAAAAUACGCUGAGGAAGCAAGGGAGCAGUACAAUGCAAGGAAGCGUGCAGCUUAUCGGAAGAAAAAAAAUGAGGAUAUUGUCAGCUUACAAGAUGAGAAUCAGCCGGUACUUGCAAAAUCUGAUCAUAGGGAUCUUAUCAACGCUCGUAGGCGGGCGGCUUAUCGCAAUAACAAGUCAGAUGGUUUGGAUAACCAACAAGUCAAUGGGAAGUCAUCCCGUCGCCAGUCUCUAUGUGAUAUCACAAAUGUUCUCGAAGAUAGGGAGAUAAAUAAACCCACACGAGAUUAUCAUGGUUGGUAAAUUGAUCCACGUCUCGUAUGUGCUGUGUUUGCACGAAGGUAGUCACUUAUUACGCACUUUAAAUAAGUACUGACCAAGCUUGUUGAAUCAUAUAAUUCAGCUAGCUCGGACUAUAUAUCAGUCUCGUCUAAUGAUGCAACAUACCCUCAUGAAGCUACGGUCACAUCGGGUGUCCUUUGUGUGAGAGAUAAAGAAGGUAAUAUUAUCUCACCAUCCACAUGGUCAUUAGAUGUCAAGUUGUGUUUUCUCAUUUGGCUUUAGAGAUAAUGACAUGAAUGUCAUGAUUAUGUGACGUUAAUGAUACCAAAGAAAAUACGAAUGACAGAAUAUUUUUGCAAAAUGGACCAAAGAAACGCCCUGGAAAGGGCUUCCUGUCGGCGGAAAAAACAACCUAAUGUCCGAAAUGAAAAUGCACAUGCCCUUCAUUCAUCAGGCAAGCUUAAAGUGUUUUAACCAUGAUAGUCGGUACCGUCAAAACCAUUAAGCUGACAUAUGUUUGGACAACUUUGGUUCACCAGACAACCCAACUAGCUCUAACUAUACAGCAUUCUCGCAUGAUGCGUCAACAUUUCCUGCUACAACUACGGUCACAUCUGGUCUCAUUAAUGAAAAUGAAAUACAAGGUAAUCAUAUUUUGCCUACUCAUUCAACAAUGGCUGGCAUGUUUCUGUUAGAUUCUCUAAUUUUAGGGUUUGCCCUGAAUGACACCAGAUGCAAAUGUAAUC